rnacentral:rRNA from 1 species
AUUGAACGCUGGCGGCAGGCCUAACACAUGCAAGUCGAACGGUAACAGGAAGCAGCUUGCUGCUUUGCUGACGAGUGGCGGACGGGUGAGUAAUGUCUGGGAAACUGCCUGAUGGAGGGGGAUAACUACUGGAAACGUUAGCUAAUACCGCAUAACGUCGCAAGACCAAAGAGGGGGACCUUCGGGCCUCUUGCCAUCGGAUGUGCCCAGAUGGGAUUAGCUAGUAGGUGGGGUAACGGCUCACCUAGUCGACGAUCCCUAGCUGGUCUGAGAGGAUGACCAGCCACACUGGAACUGAGACACGGUCCAGACUCCUACGGGAGGCAGCAGUGGGGAAUAUUGCACAAUGGGCGCAAGCCUGAUGCAGCCAUGCCGCGUGUAUGAAGAAGGCCUUCGGGUUGUAAAGUACUUUCAGCGGGGAGGAAGGGAGUAAAGUUAAUACCUUUGCUCAUUGACGUUACCCGAAGAAGAAGCACCGGCUAACUCCGUG